rnacentral:piRNA from 1 species
UAAAUAAAAGCAGACUGCAUUUUCUAGGC